GCUGGGCAUGGUGGUGCAUGCCUGUAAUCCCAGCAGCUUGGGAGGCUGAGGCAGGAGGAUUGAGAGUUCACAGCCAGCCUCAGCAAAAGUAAGGUACUAAGCAACUCAGUGAGACCCUGUCUCUA
rnacentral:sRNA from 1 species